ACUCCCUGGCAGGCCACAGUAAUGGCCACGACUCUGCUCCACUUCCUGUAACGGAUCCCACGCGGCUCCAUCAUGCUCUGACGAGUCACGACAACGGACAUCACCCCACUCUCCAUAACAGGCUCCACGUGGUAGGCCACGAUGAUGGCCACGACUCCACUUCACUACUCUCCGUAACAAACUCCACAUGACCCCGAACGGCCCACUACCAGGCGACUGCAGACAUCGCUGUCAAUCUGUUACGCCCUCCAC
rnacentral:lncRNA from 1 species